rnacentral:rRNA from 1 species
CCUACGGGAGGCAGCAGUGAUGAAUAUUGGUCAAUGGACGAGAGUCUGAACCAGCCAAUUAGCGUGAAGGAUGACUGCCCUAUGGGUUGUAAACUUCUUUUAUAAAGGAAUAAAACGAGGCACGUGUGCCUUUUUGCAUGUACUUUAUUAAUAAGUAUCGGCUAACUCCGUGCCAGCAGCCGCGGUAAUACGGAGGAUCCGAGCGUUAUCCGGAUUUAUUGGUUUUAAAGGGAGCGUAGAUGGGUUGUUAAUUCAGUUUUGAAAGUUUGCGGCUCAACCGUAAAAUUGAAAUGGAUACUGGCAGUAUUGAGUACAGUUGAGGGAGGCGGAAUGCGUGGUGUAGCGGGGAAAUGCUUAGAU